ensembl:lncRNA
CAAGCUGAAUGUUAUGUCUGCAGCACUAAGCCUGAGUACCUUCUAAAGCUGGAAAGUCUGUGGAGUAAAAAACCUCAAAACCCAGCAUUUUUUUCCUCCAACAAUUCAUUUGUCGCCACCUGACUCCUGAGGACUGAAGAAUCCUAAUUAAUGAUCACGACAAAACUUUCCUACACUGGAAUCUGGAUUACCCAAUAAGCUGUGUCCUUUCAACAAGAGUCUGGACAUCUGAAGGCAGAAAAGAAGCCACCAUUUCUGAUGAAAUGUUUCAACAAUCCAAACUGUUGGAGAAGGCAGUUCUCUCUUAAUGAGUUCAACUCAAACUUGGAUGACUUUCUGGAUGAAAAGCUUC